rnacentral:rRNA from 1 species
GAUAAACGCUGGCGGCGUGCAUGAGACAUGCAAGUCGAACGAAGGAUCGGGCUUGCUCGAUCCUUAGUGGCGGACGGCUGAGUAACGCGUAGGUGACCUACCCCGAAGUGGGGAAUAACUGCCCGAAAGGGUGGCUAAUACCGCAUGUGGUCGCACGUUCAUUCGUGCGAGUAAAGCCGCAAGGCGCUUCGGGAGGGGCCUGCGUCCGAUUAGCUCGUUGGUGGGGUAAUGGCUUACCAAGGCGACGAUCGGUAGGUGGUCUGAGAGGACGAUCACCCAGACUGGGACUGAGACACGGCCCAGACUCCUACGGGAGGCAGCAGUCGGGAAUUUUGCGCAAUGGGGGAAACCCUGAAGCAGCAACGCCGCGUGAGGGAUGAAGGCCUUCGGGUUGUAAACCUCUUUUGUCAGGGACGAUGAUGACGGUACCUGGCGAAUAAGCCACGGCUAACUACGUG